CAGCAGCCACGGGAAUACGUAGGUGGCAAGCGUUAUCCGGAAUUAUUGGGCGUAAAGCGCGCGCAGGCGGUUUCUUAAGUCUGAUGUGAAAGCCCACGGCUCAACCGUGGAGGGUCAUUGGAAACUGGGGAACUUGAGUGCAGAAGAGAAAAGCGGAAUUCCACGUGUAGCGGUGAAAUGCGUAGAGAUGUGGAGGAACACCAGUGGCGAAGGCGGCUUUUUGGUCUGUAACUGACGCUGAGGCGCGAAAGCGUGGGGAGCAAACAGGAUUAGAUACCCCCGUAGUCCCUGUCUCUUAUAC
rnacentral:rRNA from 1 species